rnacentral:rRNA from 1 species
UACGUAGGGUGCAAGCGUUGUCCGGAAUUAUUGGGCGUAAAGGGCUCGUAGGCGGUUUGUCGCGUCGGGAGUGAAAACUCAGGGCUUAACCCUGAGCCUGCUUCCGAUACGGGCAGACUAGAGGUAUGCAGGGGAGAACGGAAUUCCUGGUGUAGCGGUGAAAUGCGCAGAUAUCAGGAGGAACACCGGUGGCGAAGGCGGCUCUCUGGGCAGAUACUGACGCUGAGACGCGAAAGCAUGGGGAGCAAACAGG